GAUUCCCUGCUGAACUCUCUGAGGUGGCCCGGCCAAGGUCAUGGUCUACUUGCUGCAAGAGCAAAGAAGGGCAGUAGGGGCAGAGUCAAGGGGGUUGGGUCUAUUCUCCAAAGAGCCAGAUGCUUCACACUCAGCUGACUAUCUUGCCCUGAUGUCUGGGGAAAAAAAAAAAAAAAACACCAGGGAAAUAAACACAACCUUUGGAAGUCCUGGUGAUGUGUCUGGGGAGGCUGCUACAGCAGGUAGCUCAUGUGGGCAAUGCCCUGCCUUUGACCGGCCGCUAAGGCUUGUGAGGCCAAUGGCCUUGCUGCCAUUAACUGCUCCUAGAUGAUUACCUAAGUACUGCAGCCCCAUUCCGGAAUUUCCACAGUAUUCCUGCUGAAUCUCUGUUCAUCAAAGCUCAUAACGCACAGGUUCCUACGGUUAAGAGAACUGGGGAACCCUGGCCCCCAAACACAGGAACCAACAUCAAUGGGAGGGUCUGGGGGUGACACAUAGACUCUGAACUCCUUAAGGACUCUGCCUGACACUGAGGCAGGGCUCAGAGAAUGUUCAUCUGAAUGAAGGGAUCCUAGCCUCAUCCCUGCAUCCUGGGGUUCCCAGUCUGGCUGGGGAGACAGAAUGAACAAACAAAACAUAUCAAGAACUGAGUAUGACCAGGAGGUUCACAGCCCUGUGUGUUCCAGACAGAGGCGUUCCCACGAUGGACAAAGAGAGCUCUAAGAGAGGAUGCGGUGGUCAGAGCGGGGAACUGGAGCGGAGAUGUAAAGAAUGAGUACGUACUAGAAAACCCAAUGCCCCACACUUCUGGAUUGUUCUUCUCAGAUGUGGGAAGAAUUCUCACCUUCCACCGCCCCUGACUUUCAUUUGGUCCAAAAAUAAGAACAUCAUCUUUUCAAAGCUCUUACAAGGACAAUGUAUAUCCAAGAGGAACCAGCAUAGAUUGAGGUCUUUGCCAGGCCAAUUGUUACGCUGGGCCACAGCCUGAAGCAAGAGGAGGUACCCAGAGGAUCUGACAUUGCUCUAAAACUUAAUUCGAGUUACCCCCGGGCUUAGGACCAGAUUAUGGAGCUCUUAGGAAAGUGUUUCUCCUCCUCAACAUGGAUUUAGACUAUAUUGUUGCUGAGAAAAAAUAGUUGUGUUUUGUGUGCA